rnacentral:lncRNA from 1 species
ACGACAAAGAAAAGAAAGAACAAUGGUGGUGCCCAAAAGUGCCAUGACCAUAUGUAGCUUAUUUGCUGCACAAAUUGUGCCUAAUGCAUGCCCAAUGCUAUUAAAAAGUUCGUCAUUCGAAACACAGUAGAGGCCACAGCUGUCAGGGACAUUUCUAAAGUGAGUAUCUUCAACAGCGAAGUGCUUCCCAAGCUGUAUGGGAAGUUACGUUGCGCUGUGAGUUGUGCCAUUCACAGCAAGGUAGUCAGGAAUCGAUCUUGUGAAGCCUGCAAGGACCGAACACCUUCACCCAGUUUAGACCUGCGGGUGCUGCCCCAUGACCCCCGCCAAAGCCC